GACGAACCGUGCGAACGUUAUUCGGAAUCACUGGGCUUAAAGCGCGUGUAGGCGGGCCGGCACGUCGGUCGCUGAAAUCCCCCGGCUUAACCGGGGAACUGGCGUCGAUACGACCGUCCUGGAGGGGCGUAGGGGGACCUGGAACUUCCGGUGGAGCGGUGAAAUGCGUUGAGAUCGGAAGGAACGCCCGUGGCGAAAGCGAGGUCCUGGACGCCUACUGACGCUGAGACGCGAAAGCCAGGGGAGCGAACGGG
rnacentral:rRNA from 1 species